rnacentral:misc_RNA from 1 species
CUACCCUUCUUGGUCUGGUGCUCCAGAACUUCAAAGAUUCUUUUCUUUUUCCUAUUUUACCCUCUUUUUUGGCAGAUAAAAAUCUAGAGACAAAGGAGAGUCUAGAAAUUUACUCUAGGUUCUACACUAUUAUCUUAAUUCCACUUCUUCCAAUAAAAAUCUACUUCCUUAACAUUUUAUUUUAAUAUAGGCUUGUCUUAAAACUUAAGAUUCCCAAUAAAUUAAAAG